rnacentral:lncRNA from 1 species
UUACACAAUGGGAAAAGAAAGCCAAAAAAGAAAAGCUGCCCACCAUUAAGGGGUCUACGCUCUACAUAGAAAUCCACUCAGCUAAACUAGAUCCUAUGCACUUUAAUUUGCUUUCACAACUAAUUUUAUUAAAUUACGUUGCUUUUUCAUAUUUUACUCGAUAUAAUUUGAUGCCAUUUUUCAUUUUUUGUGGGAUAAAUAAUUUUGAAUCAGUAUAUUAUAUAUACCUCCAUACACAUUCAUGAAGUGAAUCUUUUGAUAUGAUUUCAAAUUAUUUUGUGAUGUCACGUUUGUGUAUAGUUUUGUCCAUUUGAUGUAGAAUUGAGUGUGUUGGAGUAGUAGUGUACAUAAACUACGCCCAAGGAUCAAGAAUGGAGAGAAACGGGCGUGAGAAACGAAGGAAGAAAUGAAGAAAGAACAAAAGAAGAGAGAAAACGGCGGCCGCCUAUUUUGUGAUAGACGCAUGAACAAUUUCGGAGAUUGCCGAAGCGAUUGCCAAUUAUUUUGGAAUUUAUGUGAGAAACGGCUAUCUGCAUGAUAGCCUAUUUUCUUAGACUUUUUAGUGUAAUUUCAGCGGCCUACUGGUAUGGUUGCCAAUUUCAACCGUGUUUGACCUAAUUUCAUGUUAAAUAAAUAGUAUAUAUUCGAGUCUGAGGGUUCCAGAUCAUAUUCCUAGUUUGAGACUUAAUUGUUUUCUUAGUUUUAAAGCUGAGAUUUGGUUUUCCACAAAGAAUUGAAGAUUCAAGAUUGUUACACUAAAUUCAUUUCAAGGUUUUGUCAAUUUAUUUAAUUCAGUUAUUUUAAUUUUAUUUUUGUCUUUAAUUUAUUUAAUUAUGUCUGCUAAGUUUCUUUUCUAAUUGUAGGAUUUGUAUAGUUGAUUGAAAUUAUGUGUUUGAUCUCUUAAUACCAAUUUGUCUUCCAGUGUUUGCUUCAUGAUUGAUGCGUCUUCGACUUUUGGGCCAUUUGGCCCUAUUUUUCCCUUUUUAUUGUGUCUGUUUAGGUCAUAUUGGGGAGAGAACGAGGUUUGAAGGGAUGAGAGGUCCAGUUCAGGGCAUAUAAGAGAAAGAUGGUCAGAAUGAGCAUUACCAGCUCAAACUGCAAGAUGUCAUGUUUACAGGGAUGGAGCAGAGGCGAAGUACCGCUCAGAAUACAUCUGAGGAGUGGGAACCAGCAAAGUGUACCACCUUGUAUGAGGCGAACCAGAAGAAGCAGUCAAUACGACCAUUACCAGAAUGAGCAGCAGCAGCCGAAGCUCAAUAAGGAAACCCGUGUCCAGAAGAUAUCAUGAAGAUUGUAGGCGAAUGAAGUAUGGCAAGUGAAGGAUCCAGAAGGUGGUAGAAGUUGACUCCAUCGGCAGCUGGAAGAUCAUAUCCAAUCAGAUCAAUCAGUGAUUGGGCUAAACAUGGAAAGAAGAUCAAUCUGUAGAUAUGGUUGCCGGAGUUUGACUGCUACCGUGAUGAUAUUUAAGGGCCAGCAUAUGUGGCUGGCGGAGGACUUUUGACACCCCCAUCUUUAUUCACCAUUAUCACUGUGCACCAAGAAACAAUUUACUUUAGUUUGUUUUACUUUCGCAAGAACAAUUUAUGCUUUCUAGUAUUUCAAUUCGGUUGCAAGAAACAAGCCAAGACAUUUUGCGUUAGGU